rnacentral:lncRNA from 1 species
GAAGAUGAUGUGAAAGAGGAUUCCUGAUGAGAUUACCCGCCUUCUUGAGCACAAAGAGGAGCUCAUUCAGCUGUAUCAUGAGAAUCAGCAAAACAGUCAAACUGGGGCAUUGCAAAUGCAAUCAAAGAAGAAAAAAAAAAAAAAAGAGAGAAGAGGGUGAAAAAGAAGAAAAAAUCAAAAACCAGGAAAAUUUUUUCAAAAUUUUUCCAAAAGAAAAAAGAAAAGUAUACCCUCAAGUCCCUAGUUGACUGAUGCUGAAUGGAUUCAGAGUCGUUAUGACCAGUUGAAUUUGAUUGAAGAGAAG